rnacentral:rRNA from 1 species
UUCUCUGUAGAGUCUGCAUAUCAAUAAGCGGAGGAAAAGAAACUAACUAGGAUUCCCUCAGUAACGGCGAGUGAAGCGGGAAGAGCUCAAAUUUGAAAUCUUCAAGGUUUACCUUGACGAAUUGUAGUUUAAAGAAGUGUUUUCUGUUGGUGUUUUGGUAAAAGUUCUUUGGAAUAGGACAUCAUAGAGGGUGAGAAUCCCGUAUUUGACCAUUACUUCCAGCUUUGUGAUACACUUUCAAAGAGUCGGAUUGUUUGGGAAUGCAGUCCAAAAUGGGUGGUAAAUUUCAUCUAAAGCUAAAUAUUGGCGAGAGACCGAUAGCGAGCAAGUACCGUGAGGGAAAGAUGAAAAGAACUUUGAAAAGAGAGUUAAACAGUACGUGAAAUUGUCAAAAGGGAAGCGUUUGACACCAGUGUUGUUUUCUCGAAAAUCAAUUAAAAAAGGCAGGAUUUUGUGUUGUAUUGACUUUAUCAGCUUUCUGCACUCUUUUCUUGUCCUUUUUAAUGCACUUUUCGUUUAACAAGUCAACAUCAAUUUCUUUUGUUGUAAAAGAGUCAUUGGAAGGUGGCUUUCACUUCGGUGAAAGUGUUUAUAGCCUUUGGCUUCUGCAAUCGGAGAGAUUGAGGUCUGCAGCGUAGAUCCUUCGGGGCUAGAUACGUAGAUGCUAAGUUAUAGUUUUUUAUAGACAACUUGUUGACUAUAAUUAAUCAUGUAGCUUACUCGUUUGCGCUAUUUUACCUACGCUUAGGAUGUUGACGAUCAGCUGAGCGCG